rnacentral:ncRNA from 1 species
UGUUUGCAAAUAGAAAGCGGUUCUCGAUCCUUGUUCAGGCUCUCGAGAUUAAAAGGGAAUUCGGUGAAACACCGAAGCUGUCCCCGCAACUGUAACCCCAUUCUGAAUUACUUUCAGAAUAGAAGUUUGUCCACCUACAUUGCCAUUGUCCCGAGGUUCGGGGCGAGAAGGCUGACAAACUCAGGGAAGCCAGGAGACCUGCCGAUUUCUGAUGAUUCAA